GAAAUGCGAUAAGUAAUGUGAAUUGCAGAAUUCAGUGAAUCAUCGAAUCUUUGAACGCACAUUGCGCCCGCCAGUAUUCUGGCGGGCAUGCCUGUCCGAGCGUCAUUUCAACCAUCAAGCCCCCGGGCUUGUGUUGGGGACCUGCGGCUGCCCGCAGGCCCUGAAAACCAGUGGCGGGCUCGCUGUCACACCGAGCGUAGUAGCAAUCACCUCGCUCAGGGCGUGCUGCGGGUUCCGGCCGUUAAACAGCCUUACAAAACCCAAGGCUGACCUCGGAUCAGGUAGGAAGACCCGCUGAACUUAAGC
rnacentral:misc_RNA from 1 species